rnacentral:rRNA from 1 species
UACGAAGGGGGCUAGCGUUGUUCGGAAUGACUGGGCGUAAAGGGCGCGUAGGCGGCCGUUUUAGUCAGGCGUGAAAGCCCUGGGCUCAACCUGGGAACUGCGCUUGAUACUGGACGGCUUGAGGACGGGAGAGGAUGGUGGAAUUCCCAGUGUAGAGGUGAAAUUCGUAGAUAUUGGGAAGAACACCGGUGGCGAAGGCGGCCAUCUGGACCGUAUCUGACGCUGAGGCGCGAAAGCGUGGGGAGCAAACAGG